rnacentral:tRNA from 1 species
GGCUCUGUGGCGCAAUGGAUAGCGCAUUGGACUUCUAAUCCAAAGGUUGUGGGUUCGAGUCCCACAAGAGUCG